rnacentral:lncRNA from 1 species
AUGUUUACAGAUCUGUAUUCUGCCACUGCAUCCAUUUUGCUGCACAGCCUGAGGCCAUCACCACAUGAAACAGUGGCUGCAGGGCAGGUGAAGGGAUCUGCAAAUGUCAUGUGCUGUCAUCUUUCCACUGGCUGGCGUCAGAGCCCUCAGAGGCUCCGUGUUGGGACAGCUUCUCCCAUGGUGACAAAGUCCCUGGAAAUGAGGAGGAAGUUGAACGUGGACAUCACUUCUGCCCUGGAGUUUUUCCCCUUGAAGCCAUUGAAGACCAAGAACCCCAGUUCACACAAUGCUUUUGUUAUCAGUGGACUCCUCCUUGCCAUGCACCAAGCAACCUUGCAUGGCAGCUCUGCAUCUUGACACAAUCAAGUGUGAAGGCCAAGGGACAUCAAGAAAAGUAAGCUGCACGUUCCUCCCCCUUGGCUUGCCUCUCCUAGCCCUGCAAGACACAGAAGUUGAAAGUUAAGCUUUUGAGUUACCAGCAAUUUCCACUUUGGUGCAUUAUUGACUUUGCUGCAGCGCUUUUAUAAGCCUGUUUGUAAGACAAUAGACAAUGGGAGAAGUUGCUGAGGCUCCCAGUGGACAUAUGUUGACAAUAAACCCCUGUAACAGAGGUCA